CAUAGGUUUGGUCCUGGCCUUCCUGUUGUCUUUUAACAAACUUACACAUGCAAGUAUCCUCAUCCCAGUGAGAAUGCCCUCCAAGUCAGUAAGACUAAGAGGAGCUGGUAUCAAGCACACACCCGUAGCUCACGACACCUUGCUUAACCACACCCCCACGGGAUACAGCAGUGAUAAAAAUUAAGCUAUAAACGAAAGUUUGACUAAGUUAUGUUAAUUAGGGUUGGUAAAUUUCGUGCCAGCCACCGCGGCCAUACGAUUAACCCAAGCUAACGGGAAUACGGCGUAAAAAGUGUUUAAGCGCCACACCAAAUAGAGUUAAACUUUAAUUAAGCUGUAAAAAGCCAUAAUUAUUGUAAAAAUAAAUAACGAAAGUAACUCUACAGCAGCUGACACACCAUAGCUAAGACCCAAACUGGGAUUAGAUACCCCACUAUGCUUAGCCCUAAACACAGAUAAUUAUAUAAACAAAAUUAUUCGCCAGAGUACUACUAGCAACAGCUUAAAACUCAAAGGACUUGGCGGUGCUUCAUAUCCCUCUAGAGGAGCCUGUUCUAUAAUCGAUAAACCCCGAUAAACCUCACCAAUUCUUGCUAAUACAGUCUAUAUACCGCCAUCUUCAGCAAACCCUAAAAAGGAGUAAAAGUAAGCGUAAUCAUAGCACAUAAAAAAGUUAGGUCAAGGUGUAACCUAUGAAGUGG
rnacentral:rRNA from 1 species